CGCGUGAGUGAAGAAGGUUUUCGGAUCGUAAAACUCUGUUGUCAGAGAAGAACAAGUCGGGAGAGUAACUGCUCCGACCUUGACGGUAUCUGACCAGAAAGCCACGGCUAACUACGUGCCAGCAGCCGCGGUAAUACGUAGGUGGCAAGCGUUGUCCGGAUUUAUUGGGCGUAAAGCGAGCGCAGGCGGUUCCUUAAGUCUGAUGUGAAAGCCCACGGCUCAACCGUGGAAGGUCAUUGGAAACUGGGGAACUUGAGUGCAGAAGAGGAGAGUGGAAUUCCAUGUGUAGCGGUGAAAUGCGUAGAUAUAUGGAGGAACACCAGUGGCGAAGCGACUCUCUGGUCUGUAACUGACGCUGAGGCUCGAAAGCGUGGGGAGCAAACAGGAUUAGAUACCCUGGUAGUCCACGCCGUAAACGAUGAGUGCUAA
rnacentral:rRNA from 1 species